GAUGAAGAACGUAGCGAAAUGCGAUACGUAAUGUGAAUUGCAGAAUUCAGUGAAUCAUCGAGUCUUUGAACGCACAUUGCGCCCCCUGGUAUUCCGGGGGGCAUGCCUGUCCGAGCGUCAUUGCUGCUCUCAAGCACGGCUUGUGUGUUGGGCCUCCGUCCUCCUCCCGGGGGACGGGCCCGAAAGGCAGCGGCGGCACCGCGUCCGGUCCUCGAGCGUAUGGGGCUUCGUCACCCGCUCUUGUAGGCCCGGCCGGCGCUUGCCGACACAUCAAUCUUUUUUCCAGGUUGACCUCGGAUCAGGUAGGGAUACCCGCUGAACUUAAGCAUAUCAAUAAGCGGAGGA
rnacentral:misc_RNA from 1 species